AUAGCGUAUAUUAAAGUUGUUGCAGUUAAAAAGCUCGUAGUUGAAACUUGGGUCUGGCUAGCGGGUCCGCCUCACCGCGUGCACUUGUCCGGCUGGACCUUUCCUUCUGGAGAACCUCAUGCCCUUCACUGGGUGUGUUGGGGAACCAGGACUUUUACUUUGAAAAAAUUAGAGUGUUCAAAGCAGGCCUUUGCUCGAAUACGUUAGCAUGGAAUAAUAGAAUAGGACGUGCGGUCCUAUUUUGUUGGUUUCUAGGAUCGCCGUAAUGAUUAAUAGGGAUAGUUGGGGGCAUUAGUAUUCAGUUGCUAGAGGUGAAAUUCUUGGAUUUACUGAAGACUAACUACUG
rnacentral:rRNA from 1 species